rnacentral:rRNA from 1 species
UACGUAGGGGGCGAGCGUUGUCCGGAAUCAUUGGGCGUAAAGCGCGUGUAGGCGGUUCGAUAAGUCUGCUGUGAAAGUCCAGGGCUCAACCCUGGGAUGCCGGUGGAUACUGUCGGGCUAGAGUGCGGAAGAGGCGAGUGGAAUUCCCGGUGUAGCGGUGAAAUGCGCAGAUAUCGGGAGGAACACCUAUGGCGAAGGCAGCUCGCUGGGACGUUACUGACGCUGAGACGCGAAAGCGUGGGGAGCAAACAGG